rnacentral:rRNA from 1 species
GACGAACGCUGGCGGCGUGCUUAACACAUGCAAGUCGAACGGAAAGGCCCUGCUUUUGUGGGGUGCUCGAGUGGCGAACGGGUUAGUAACACGUGAGUAACCUGCCCUUGACUUUGGGAUAACUUCAGGAAACUGGGGCUAAUACCGGAUAGGAGCUCCUGCUGCAUGGUGGGGGUUGGAAAGUUUCGGCGGUUGGGGAUGGACUCGCGGCUUAUCAGCUUGUUGGUGGGGUAGUGGCUUACCAAGGCUUUGACGGGUAGCCGGCCUGAGAGGGUGACCGGCCACAUUGGGACUGAGGUACGGCCCAGACUCCUACGGGAGGCAGCAGUGGGGAAUAUUGCACAAUGGGCGGAAGCCUGAUGCAGCAACGCCGCGUGCGGGAUGACGGCCUUCGGGUUGUAAACCGCUUUCGCCUGUGACGAAGCGUGAGUGACGGUAAUGGGUAAAGAAGCACCGGCUAACUACGUG